UGCUCCUGCUGUGUUAAGUCCAGCUGCAUUUCCCUGCUAUCGCUGCUGUACAAAUAACCACUGAGUAUUUUAAAGGAGCACGUAUUUAUUCUCUCACAGUUCUGGAGGUCAGAGUCUAAAAUGGGCCUGCAAUGCUGUGGUCCUUCAGGAGGCACUGGGGGAGAACUUGAUUCCUUGCCUCUUUCAGCUUUAGAGGCCACCUACAUUUCCUGGCUCAUGGACCCUUUUUCCACCAUCUCAAAGCCAGCAAUGUUGCAUCUUCCCUCUGCUUUUAUCCUUAUGUUUUCUCUCUAGACUCUGAUCCUCCUGCCUCCCUCUUAUAAGAGCCCUUGUGAAUACGCUGGGCCCACCCAGAUAAUCUGGGAUAAUCUCCCCAUCUCAAGACACAUUUGCAGGGUCCCUUUUACCAUGCGAGGUAAUAUAUUCAUGAGUUCUGAGCAGUAGGACAUGGACAACUCUGAGGGGGCCAUUUUUGAGCCUAUUAUACCAGGCUGGACUGCUGGAUGACAAAAGGCACCUGACCAGGCAAUUCCAUCAGCUCAGCCAAUAGCCGUCCAACUGCCAGAUGUGAGAGAGGCCAUCCUAGACCAGCUGGUUCUCAGCCGGCCCACCGGCUGACCACAGACACAUCGGAAUAAUUAAAAUGAAGGCACUCUGGAGCUGCUAACACGCCAUCAGUCACACAGAUUUAGGUCUGUGAUGCUCUCAGAGAGACUUGGAUUCAUUUGGAGUGAUAUAUAUAUAAAAUAAAUUUGAUAUUCUCUCCUGAUUGACAUGAAAAUAUCUAAUAAGCGUUAUAUCAUAUGUAUGGGAUUUUAAUGCGGACAUUGAUCAGUUUUUAAACAAUCUCAAAUAAAUCCCUUCUCACAUUAAAUAGGAUGGGUCUGAAUUUACGGAGUAGCUGAAUACAGUGAGAGCCAGUGAAUUACAUUUGUCGUGUAAGAUGAAUCCAGGCACUGGAUAGAGGUUGUGAACUGAGCAACCAGAGGUGAGG
rnacentral:lncRNA from 10 species